GACGAACGCUGGCGGCGUGCUUAACACAUGCAAGUCGAACGGAAAGGCCCUGCUUUUGUGGGGUGCUCGAGUGGCGAACGGGUGAGUAACACGUGAGUAACCUGCCCUUGACUUUGGGAUAACUUCAGGAAACUGGGGCUAAUACCGGAUAGGAGCUCCUGCUGCAUGGUGGGGGUUGGAAAGUUUCGGCGGUUGGGGAUGGACUCGCGGCUUAUCAGCUUGUUGGUGGGGUAGUGGCUUACCAAGGCUUUGACGGGUAGCCGGCCUGAGAGGGUGACCGGCCACAGUGGGACUGAGAUACGGCCCAGACUCCUACGGGAGGCAGCAGUGGGGAAUAUUGCACAAUGGGCGGAAGCCUGAUGCAGCAACGCCGCGGGCGGGAUGACGGACUUCGGGUUGUAAACCGCUUUCGCCUGUGACGAAGCGUGAGUGACGGUAAUGGGUAAAGAAGCACCGGCUAACUACGUGC
rnacentral:rRNA from 1 species